CUACGGGCGGCACCAGUGAGGAAUAUUGCACAAUGGGGGGAACCCUGGUGCAGCAACGCCGCGUGGAGGAUGACGCAUUUCGGUGUGUAAACUCCUUUUAUAUGUCAAGAAAAUGACGGUAGCAUAUGAAUAAGCACCGGCUAACUCCGUGCCAGCAGCCGCGGUAAUACGGAGGGUGCAAGCGUUACUCGGAAUCACUGGGCGUAAAGGACGCGUAGGCGGGUUGGAAAGUCAGGUGUGAAAGCCUACAGCUUAACUGUAGAACUGCACUUGAAACUUGUAAUCUAGAGUAUGGGAGGGGGAGAUGGAAUUAGUGGUGUAGGGGUAAAAUCCGUAGAUAUCACUAGGAAUACCUAAAGCGAAGGCGAUCUGCUGGAACAUUACUGACGCUAAGGCGUGAAAGCGUGGGGAGCAAACAGGAUUAGAUACCCCGGUAGUC
rnacentral:rRNA from 1 species